GCCGGAGGGGAGGUUGGGAGGGGCUUUAUCACCCUGAUUGUAUGCACCCUGAGACACACAGCUGAGAGCCUGCAGGGAGCCCCGAGGGGAAGGAGCCGGAGUGGAGGGAAGAUCAGAACCCGAGGGGUUGGUGAUUCUUGGUGAUUUGCAGAGAGGAGGUUUCUUUUGAGAAGUGUGGAGAGGUCAGCAAGCCUUGGCUUCCACCCUGUGGGGUCCGCAGCCUGCAGGCCCUGAGCACCUGCCCUGGACGAACAGGCAGAGAGAGCCUCCGUCCUGGCCAAGGAAGGAAGAGCAGAAGGCCAGGAACAGAAGAGGCUGCGCUUCUGAAGUGUUGAUGUCAUCGUCUCCUGCGGAGCCAGACUGAUCCAGUUACUUUGCUGAAAGUUGAUG
rnacentral:lncRNA from 1 species